AGUACAGACGGGGUUUCGCCAUGUUGGCCGGGAUGGUCUCGAUCUCCUGACCUCGUUAUCCGCCUGUCUCGGCCUCCCAAAGUGCUGAGAUUACAGACGUGAGCCACCGAUCCGGGCCCUUGCACGUAUUUUCUUAUGAACACACAGGUAGCAGCACUUUGAUUACAGUAACUUAUAUGGAAGUUAUUUUAAAAUGACUUUCCCCUUCUCUUCCUCAUGUAGGCUGUAUAUUUCAUCUGCAGCACGCUUUCUCCCAAGAAUCUCAAGCGCACACAGGAAACCAGAGAAUAACAUCACUGAGGCUUGAACACAUCCAGAGACCAAGGGCGUCACUGGCAGAAAAGCUUUUAGGCGAAUCCAUAGGCCCGAGAGCCACCCCGCCCAGAGACGUGGCUUCCUAUGAGCAGUUCACACGCGGCUCUGCAGCACCCACAAGCGGGGCCAGGGGCUGGUUUUCAUAGUUCACAGUCUGCAGGGAUCUUAGCAAAAAUAUGGCCGUGGUAAAAGUGCCUAGACCAGGCUCACUGAGUAGGAAGACUAGUUAGGCUGAUGAAAAGCUCUGAUGAGUCAUGUUACUAGGCUGGGAUAAUAAAAAGGACUGUUGAACUUCACAUCUGCCAUCUAUAACACAUUCUUAAUGAAGCAGUCUUGCACCAGGGGAUUUAUCAACUCUGCCAAAUUUCCUAAAAUUACCAAAUGGAGAAAAAAGAGCUGUUCCCGCCUCUCACCAGGCACAACCAGCACAAUAUCUGACUUUCACUGUGAUGACUGGAGACAGGAUGGGGUCUGAAUGCUGGUCUUCAACGCACCAUACAACAGUGCCAGACCCUCAACUGUAUGAAGGGGAACAGAGCCCUCCUUAAAAGAUUUACUGGAGUUAACACCUGGGGAUCCUCAAGAAAUGAACGCUAUCACUGUUCUGCUUCAGAAGUUUGGAACCAAAACUGCAAUGUCCCCAAGACAUGCCUGUAGGUACACGAGUCCAUACUGAUAAAUGACUGAAUAAACAGGAGAGAAGAAACAAAUCUUCAAGAAGAAUAACAUGCACAGAUUCUGCUCUCUCCCGGGGUUGGAGCUUAAACCUCCUCAACCCACAGAGUAUGGAAAGGGAAAACAGGAACCUGACAGUGGAGAAACCUGGCAGACACCACUGUGACCAGGUGGCCAGGGUGAGCACGAGCACUGCCUGGGGUAGGUGACGUGGUGGUUACAACCACCCAGCAGGAUGUGAUGAGAAAGGUGCUUGAGAAACAUCAGACCAACUCCAAUGGAGGGACAUUCUUCAGACUGCCCGGCCAGCACUCCUCAGAACUGUCAGGGUCAUGAGAAACAAGGGAAGUCUGAGGAACUGUCACAGGCCAGAGACCGCAAAGGAGACGGGAUGACUAAAUGCAGUGUGUGCCUGGAUGGGACUCUGGGACAGAAAGCAGACAUUAGGGAAAAACUGAAAUCCAAAUAAAGGCUGGAUUUUAGUUAAUGGUGACUACCAAUGUUGGUUUCUUAGUCGUGGCAAAUGUCCCAUGGCGGCGUAAGAGGUUAACAGCGGGGGGACUACGUGAGGGGCACAUGGACGCUCUCUGUACUCGCGCUGCCAUUUUCCUGUCAAUCUAAAAUUAGACCAAAAUAAAAGUUUAUUGGAAAAGACAAAUAAA